UGAACAGAUAAUGGUAUUUUCGAGUAUAAUUACAGACAUAUUAAGCCACAACAUAGAUAUAUACAUAUACAAUAAAGUAGCAACAAUAUUAGUUGGACCACAAUGCAGCCAUUAAUGAUUCUGUUUAGCCACACGUUACAUUAAGCGUCUGUGAUUCAUGCCUGCCAAAACAUUAUCGUUGGCAGUUCAAAAUAUAACUGAUCCAAAAGCAGCAUACACACAUGGUUCAUUAGACAUCCGAACAGACUAUUAGCGAGUAUUGCUUGCACACAAAAGCACAGAGUUCGUUUGUCUAGCGGCAAUAUUAGCAGAAGACAAGUGUUAUUCUUGUUGGACAGAAAAAUGACAUGUCCCUUCAUUUCCAACGAUAGACCUGCGCAGGAAGUUAGAAUCUUUUAAUGGUAUAAAUCCAAUUAUUCUAUUUUGAAAUGUCAGAACAAUGCUAGGUGGGCUAUAGUGUUAUCAUUUCUUAAUUAUAGUGUUAUCAUUUCUUAAUUUUGGUAGCAGCAAGGCACAAAAUAACAACUGAAUAUCUACAAGUAAUAUAAACAGAUUUAGGCUGCAACAACCAUGGCAAGGAGUUCUUCACUCAACAAGCAAGCAAAUUUUCAAGAUUCAGACCACCAUAUAAUAUAUGUUAAUAUGAAAACUACGUGCAUAUUAUUUGCAAAUCGAAAGUUGAAACAUGAAUGUGAUCCAAAAUGUUUAAAUAAAAAACUAAAAAAAAUGAAAAUCUGAAAUCUGGAAAAUGGGCAUCAAAUUUCAGCUUAUAAGCUGAAAAUCUAAAAACAUGAUGUGAUCCAAACUGACGAUCUAAGUUUUUAGAUUUGAACAGGAUUCCUAGCCUGUUGUAUGAAUCACAUUCAGUUUUCAGCAUGUCUUGGAUGAAAUGAAAUGUAUGUGCUAACUGAAAAUAUGAAAAAGUAUGGACUUAAUGUUAUCCAAACGAAAAACUGAAAACUAAAAUGUAUGGACUGGAUACUGGAAACUGUAUUUGAUCAAAGCAGAGUACGGACAUGAACUGAAACAAUGAUGUCCGAGCUGUUUGUAGGGAUAUUUGUUCAGCUAUUUCUGCUUGGUGUGUUAUCCAAGUAGUAAACGAAGUAUGAUUGAUCGGCUAUAAUCUUGUAACAAAGACGUGCUACUACUUUAACACCCCAUAAUUUAUAAUUGCUUAUUAACACAGAAUAAACACCCACGCCUAAUAAUGAAGUAGGAACAUGUAUAUAUUAGAUGACUAACAAUAAUGAAGUAAAAUUAGAAGUACUCGUAGGUCAAAACAUUAAACACCCACUACCAUACCUCCAUAUUAUUGGUCCAUGGGAUGAUCGCUCUCGGCAUCACAUGCCAGUGUUGCCAGAGUAAGUGCUCGGUGUUCUAUUAGUAAACUGAUGGUCCAGAAUAGAAGAGAAAGUUGUUCGGUGCUGAUUGGUUUCGCUUAGCUUUCCGCAAAGAAGUUUUUAAGUCCCUACAGUCACUUGUGUAUAUGAUAUGCACAGUUUAGCUACCCUCGGUGGCUCUGUUAACAAUCGAUUUUAUAUGCUGGAUAUGCCUAGUAGUUACUCAUGUGAGAUUCUUGCAGUGACCGCCAUAAUACCUGAAGAAGCAUGACUGAUCUUUGUGGCAUAGAAUUUUAUAGUAAAGCACACGCUUCUUGCAUUCGUUGUGAAACAAAAGGAUUCAUGCAUGUUCAUCUCGUGACGCUUUUUCCCUCCGGUACCAAACAAAAGGAUUCAUGCAUGUUCAUCAUGUGAUUGAAAAUACACCGAUUCUUGUUACAUAUAGUGCAUAUGUUUCAGAUCGUAAGCAUCGCGGCACUUGGCUGAAUACGUCAUACGUGAACAUGACCAGAGACCAGACUACCCGUAUAAAGUUCUUCAACGAAUCGACGCAAAACUAUAUGUCAGAAUAAAUUGUGUAUCCAGAAAAAGAAAAACUGGUCAUACACCAUGUUGCGAAAGAACUGCCCGUAGUAAAAACUAUGUAUCUAGGG
rnacentral:lncRNA from 1 species